GCUGGGCAUGGUGGCUCAUGCCUGUAAUCCCAACAGUUUGGGAGGCUAAGAUGGGAGGAUCACUUGAGCCCAGGAAUUUGAGAACAGCCUGGGCAAUAUAGUGAGACCUCAUCUCUA
rfam:Homo sapiens chromosome 1, GRCh38 reference primary assembly.